rnacentral:rRNA from 1 species
UACGGGAGGCAGCAGUGGGGAAUAUUGCACAAUGGGCGCAAGCCUGAUGCAGCCAUGCCGCGUGUAUGAAGAAGGCCUUCGGGUUGUAAAGUACUUUCAGUCGUGAGGAAGGUGUUAAGGUUAAUAACCUUAGCAAUUGACGUUAGCGACAGAAGAAGCACCGGCUAACUCCGUGCCAGCAGCCGCGGUAAUACGGAGGGUGCGAGCGUUAAUCGGAAUUACUGGGCGUAAAGGGCACGCAGGCGGUUAAUUAAGUUGGAUGUGAAAUCCCCGGGCUUAACCUGGGAAUGGCAUUCAAGACUGGUUAGCUAGAGUCUUGUAGAGGGGGUAGAAUUCCAUGUGUAGCGGUGAAAUGCGUAGAGAUGUGGAGGAAAUACCGGUGGCGAAGGCGGCCCCUGGACAAAGACUGACGCUCAUGUGCGAAAAGCGUGGGGAGCAAACAGGGAUUAGAUACC